rnacentral:rRNA from 1 species
AUUGAACGCUGGCGGCAGGCUUAACACAUGCAAGUCGAGCGGAGAUGAGGUGCUUGCAUCUUAUCUUAGCGGCGGACGGGUGAGUAAUGCUUAGGAAUCUGCCUAUUAGUGGGGGACAACAUUCCGAAAGGAAUGCUAAUACCGCAUACGUCCUACGGGAGAAGGCAGGGGAUCUUCGGACCUUGCGCUAAUAGAUGAGCCUAAGUCGGAUUAGCUAGUUGGUGGGGUAAAGGCCUACCAAGGCGACGAUCUGUAGCGGGUCUGAGAGGAUGAUCCACCACACUGGGACUGAGACACGGCCCAGACUCCUACGGGAGGCAGCAGUGGGGAAUAUUGGACAAUGGGGGGAACCCUGAUCCAGCCAUGCCGCGUGUGUGAAGAAGGCCUUAUGGUUGUAAAGCACUUUAAGCGAGGAGGAGGCUACUGAGACUAAUACUCUUGGAUAGUGGACGUUACUCGCAGAAUAAGCACCGGCUAACUCUGUGCCAGCCGCCGCCGUAAAAC